AAAAUCCGGCAGCGUAAUUCAAGGGUGUGCGACGAGUGGCCUUGUGCCGCGAAGCAAUCGGAAGUGGUUCCAAGAAAAGCCUCUAAGCUUCAGUCUAACGAGACCGUACCGCAAACCGACACAGGUGGGCGAGAUGAGUAUUCUAAGGCGCUUGAGAGAACUCGGGAGAAGGAACUCGGCAAAUUGGUACCGUAACUUCGGGAUAAGGUACGCCCUUGUAGUUUGACUGGCCUGCGCCAGAAGGACGAAGGGGUUGCAAUAAAUUGGUGGCUGCGACUGUUUAAUAAAAACACAGCACUCUGCAAACACGAAAGUGGACGUAUAGGGUGUGACUCCUGCCCGGUGCUGGAAGAUUAAAUGAUGGGGUGCAAGCUCUUGAUUGAAGUCCCAGUAAACGGCGGCCGUAACAAUAACGGUCCUAAGGUAGCGAAAUUCCUUGUCGGGUAAGUUCCGACCUGCACGAAUGGAGUAACGAUGGCCACACUGUCUCCUCCCGAGACUCAGCGAAGUUGAAAUGUUUGUGAUGAUGCAAUCUACCCGCGGCUAGACGGAAAGACCCCAUGAACCUUUACUGUAGCUUUGCAUUGGACUUUGAACCAAUCUGUGUAGGAUAGGUGGGAGGCUUUGAAGCGGGGACGCCAGUUCUCGUGGAGCCAUCCUUGAAAUACCACCCUGGUUUGUUUGAGGUUCUAACCUUGGUCCGUUAUCCGGAUCGGGGACAGUGCAUGGUAGGCAGUUUGACUGGGGCGGUCUCCUCCCAAAGUGUAACGGAGGAGUUCGAAGGUACGCUAAUUACGGUCGGACAUCGUGAUGAUAGUGCAAUGGCAUAAGCGUGCUUAACUGCGAGACUGACAAGUCGAGCAGGUACGAAAGUAGGACAUAGUGAUCCGGUGGUUCUGUAUGGAAGGGCCAUCGCUCAACGGAUAAAAGGUACUCUGGGGAUAACAGGCUGAUUCCUCCCAAGAGUUCAUAUCGACGGGGGAGUUUGGCACCUCGAUGUCGGCUCAUCACAUCCUGGGGCUGUAGCCGGUCCCAAGGGUAUGGCUGUUCGCCAUUUAAAGUGGUACGUGAGCUGGGUUUAAAACGUCGUGAGACAGUUUGGUCCCUAUCUGCCGUGGGCGUUGGAAAUUUGAAGGGGGCUGCUCCUAGUACGAGAGGACCGGAGUGGACGAACCUCUGGUGUACCGGUUGUCACGCCAGUGGCAUUGCCGGGUAGCUAAGUUCGGAAGAGAUAACCGCUGAAAGCAUCUAAGCGGGAAACUUGCCUUGAGAUGAGAUUUCCCAGAGCCUUGAGCUCUUUAAAGGGUCGUUCGAGACCAGGACGUUGAUAGGCUGGGUGUGGAAGUGAAAAAAAACAA
rnacentral:rRNA from 1 species